UUAGGGUGGCAGAGGCUGGUAAUUGCAAAAGACCUAAAACCUUUACAUCAAGGGUUCAAAUCCCUUCCCCAAUU
rnacentral:tRNA from 1 species